rnacentral:rRNA from 1 species
AGAUGAGCCUGCACUUGAUUAGCUAGUUGGUAAGGUAAAGGCUUACCAAGGCAACGAUCAAUAGCUGUUCUUAGAGGAAGACCAGCCACAUUGGGACUGAGACACGGUCCAGACUCCUACGGGAGGCAGCAGUGGGGAAUCUUGCACAAUGGGGGAAACCCUGAUGCAGCGAUGCCGCGUGAGUGAAGUAGG